rnacentral:rRNA from 1 species
GAGUUUGAUCGUGGCUCAGAUUGAACGCUGGCGGCAUGCCUUACACAUGCAAGUCGAACGGCAGCAUGAUCUAGCUUGCUAGAUUGAUGGCGAGUGGCGAACGGGUGAGUAAUACAUCGGAACGUGCCCUGUAGUGGGGGAUAACUAGUCGAAAGAUUAGCUAAUACCGCAUACGACCUGAGGGUGAAAGUGGGGGACCGCAAGGCCUCAUGCUAUAGGAGCGGCCGAUGUCUGAUUAGCUAGUUGGUGGGGUAAAGGGCCCACCAAGGCGACGAUCAGUAGCUGGUCUGAGAGGACGAUCAGCCACACUGGGACUGAGACACGGCCCAGACUCCUACGGGAGGCAGCAGUGGGGAAUUUUGGACAAUGGGCGAAAGCCUGAUCCAGCAAUGCCGCGUGUGUGAAGAAGGCC